UGGAUAGGGUGAAAACGCGUUGCUGGGUUC
rnacentral:piRNA from 1 species